rnacentral:rRNA from 1 species
AUGAGGGAUCAACUGCACUGCAAUCACGCGGCCGGUGAACCACAUGAUGUGGACCGGCAAACUGCACGACACGUUGGGGGAGAGCUCACCAACACACGAGCCGCGAAAUAUGAAAAAGCAACAAGUGAAACCACUGAGUAUGGCACAACGAACAACACUACUUCUUCAAUAAUUACAAAAAAGAGACCUUGGAAAUUUUACAUAGCAAGCAUCAAACAAAAUAAAGAAAAGUCGGACUCGGUGAACAACAGAGACCACACGGACAUGCAUGCACCUCCUCAAACUGCAUCAUGGUAUGGCUGGUUGCCGAACUGCAACAGGCUCCCACCCAACCUGCACACAUCGCCUGACUGCACUGCACAUCCACACACACACGACUGCUUCAAGCACACACCAGCUUGCCACAAGCAAGCUAUUUUCACUAGCUGA